rnacentral:lncRNA from 1 species
CGUCUAUGCCUUCUCCAUUACAUCCAAAGGAGAAUAGCCCCAUGUGAAGAAUGGAAUCAGUAGAUGUUUGGUCGCUGUACCAUAUCCACUCCUAGGAUACAACAAGAGCAAGCCCAAUUCUCUUGGUGGUGUGGGCAGUCGGCUUGCACCACGUACCUAUCUCAGCUCUUUUUGGAAGCUUAUGUCCUCCCCACAACUUCCAGCUUUCUUAUGGGACAAGGGUACACUCACCACUGCCAUAUCUAAUCCUGCUUGCCUGGUAAAUGUUCUCUUCUUCUUUACACCCCUGAUGACUCUGGUCACUCUACUCAUCCUGGUCUGGAAAGUAACCAAAGACAAAAGCAACAAGAACAGAGAGACACACCCAAGAAAGGAGGCAACAUGGCUGCCAUAAAGAUCUGGAUCUCUUGGUGGGGACUCCACUGAGGUGAAGACCUGAUUGUACAAGAGAGGCACGGCCACUGGAGCUGUCUCAGAGCCCAGAGCCAGGGGAGCCAGAGCUGCUUUAGCCACCCUGUUCCUCCAUUGCCAGAUGUCCCCCCAGGCCUCAUUUCCUUCCUCUGCCACCAUCCCUCUUAUAAUGCACUCCUCCUGCGGUUCUUUGGCUUGUCCCAGCUUCUGAGUUUGAAUGUCUUUUUUUUUUUUUUUUUUUUUGUGGAUCUUCAAGACUGAAAUAGUAAAUGGCUCUUGAUUUCUGCACUAACAGAGGAAAGAAACAAGUACAUGGAAAAGUAAAAAUUGAUUACAAAGCCUAAAUUUUCCUCUAUAAAUUGGGCAUGUGCUGACUGUGGGAUAUUGAAAUUAUUGGGAGCUCACAGCAUCUCAAGUUAUAUAAUGAAGCUAUUCUGGAAGCUCAUUUCCAGAAGAUCCUUAAAAUGAAAUGGCUCACUCUCUGCUGAAUUGUAGGUACACUCUUUCCUCCUCUUCACUUAAUGCUGGGAGUAAAAUGUAUUUUUUUUAUUAAGAAAUGAUUUGAAGUACCAUACAUUUUUCUCUCCUCUCUCACCCUCCAACUUAGUGGGUUGACAAAAUUUUAAAAUAUCAUAUCCUAAAAUGAUAAUUUUUCUUUUUCUUUUUUUGUCCUUUCAGAAUUUGGAGCAAGUUAACUCCUUUUUCAAAUGAAAUCCAAAUUAAAGAGGCAGU